AGUGAACGCUGGCGGUAGGCCUAACACAUGCAAGUCGAACGGCAGCACAGUAAGAGUUUGCUCUUACGGGUGGCGAGUGGCGGACGGGUGAGGAAUACAUCGGAAUCUACUUUUUCGUGGGGGAUAACGUAGGGAAACUUACGCUAAUACCGCAUACGACCUACGGGUGAAAGCAGGGGAUCUUCGGACCUUGCGCGAUUGAAUGAGCCGAUGUCGGAUUAGCUAGUUGGCGGGGUAAAGGCCCACCAAGGCGACGAUCCGUAGCUGGUCUGAGAGGAUGAUCAGCCACACUGGAACUGAGACACGGUCCAGACUCCUACGGGAGGCAGCAGUGGGGAAUAUUGGACAAUGGGCGCAAGCCUGAUCCAGCCAUACCGCGUGGGUGAAGAAGGCCUUCGGGUUGUAAAGCCCUUUUGUUGGGAAAGAAAAGCAGCAGGUUAAUACCCCGCUGCUCUGACGGUACCCAAAGAAUAAGCACCGGCUAACUUCGUG
rnacentral:rRNA from 1 species